GUCUGCCACCCUGCGAGUACGCGGUUCGUACCCGGCCGCGCGGAAGCCCGUGCCUGCGCACUGCUCUGUGCCCGCGCCUAUGUCCCGCAGGGGGCGCGCAGCGGCGGUAGCCGAGCGAGGGCGCGGUGGCCUCUGACAGGAAUGGCUCUGAGCACGUGCGUUUCACAGCAGUGGAAGUCCUCACACCCGGAAAUUCGACUUUGGCCGUUUCUCCAUUUCUCCUUACGCACUGUCUUUCCUUGGACCCUCGUCACUCCUGGCACCGGGGGAAGCGCUUCCCCGCCUCUGGCCGGGCGCUGGGGCGCGACCGAAGGCGAGGCGGCGGCGAGGAACCUUCUGGAAUUCGGCCGUCGGGGCAGGCGUCGAGUUUACAGGAGAAGGCGCGGUGUCCCGGGAUGAGCGGAGUCGCCCUCAGUUAAGGAGCGAGGGAGGCCUCGGGGGUCCCCAGCUGGUGAUGAGCCCUCCUCUUCAGCUAGGAAAAUGACGGUGUUCAGAAAGUUAAAACUUCUUCUCUGGAAGGAUUUCAUCUUAAAGGUGUUUUAGGCUAUCCUUCAGUGUCUUUGUUUGAACAUUAUAUAAUUGAUGAUCCCAAAGCUUUCUGCAUAUUGGCAGGAAUUGUUUUUGACCAUAACGUCAAUGACAGCAAUGGAUCUUUGCCACUUGUGGUUAAGUAUCAAUUGCGCUUCAGUUACUUUCAGAAGAAUUUUAUACCGGGGAAGAAUAUAUUUUUCCAAGAUGACAUAGAAGGCUGGUGCACAUCCUUUCUUUACCCUCUCAAUCCAUGCCAAGAACCCCGUGAAUUUCCAUUUGCUGAUGGGGGAAGUCCUGGAUACAACAAAGAAGGCUUCCUGGCCAUACAGUAUGCUGUGGAUAAAGCCAUCAUGUGGUACCAUGCUCACAGUGCAAUUACCAACAUGUUUGAGAAUCCCAAUGUACUUGUGAAGAGAUUCCCAUAUGGACCCUAUAUUGAGGACAGGUUCUUCCUAGUCCUUCAGAAUGAGUUUUCUCUGUUCUUCAUACUCAGCUUCAUGUGCAUUGAGCUCAUCAUCAUCAAUUCCAUUGUACUGGAGAAAGAGAAAAGACUGAAGGUCUUAUUCCCCCUACAAGUGGAUGUGCAUAUGUCAAUGGAUAUGAGAUUCCACAAGAGAUGUUUCACAUUAGGAAGAGCCUGGGCUGGUGCCCCCAACAUGGUGUCUUAUUUGAUAAGUUAACAGUAGCAGAACAUCUUUCUUUCUAUGGUCAGCUGAAGGGCCUGUCACGCCGGAAGUGCCCUGAAGAAGUCAAGCAGAUGCUGCAUGUCAUCGGCCUGGAGGACAAGUGGAACUCACGGAGCCGCUUCCUGAGUGGGGGCAUGAGGCACAAGCUCUCCAUCGGCAUUGCCCUCAUCGCAGGCUCCAAGGUUUGAAUCUCUAUUUACUGACUUGGAACUGAGGCAGGUAGAGCUGGGCAUCUCCAGCUUUGGGGCCUCUGUCAUGACCAUGGAGGAUGUCUUCAUAAGGUACAGUGGUGGAUUGGUUACUGUCCUCAAUUUCAUGCUCUGCUGAACUUCAUGACAGGCCAUGAGAUGCUGGUCAUGUAUGCCCAGAUCGGGGGCAUCCCAGAGCACCCCAUUAGUGCUUGUGUGGACCAGAUUCUUGAGGAUUUAGUCAAGUACAUGUACGCCGACAAGCUGGUCAAGACCUACAGCAUGGAGGAGUGUGAGGCCCUGUGCACCUGGCUGGCCAUCAUGGUGCGGGGGCAGUUCAAGUGUCUGGGCAGCCCCCAGCACCUCAAGAGCAAGUUCGGCAGUGGCUACUCCCUGAGGGCUAAGGUGCAGAGCGAAGGGCAGCAGGAGGCGCUGGAGGAGUUCAAGGCCUUCAUGGACCUGACCUUUCCAGGUAGCAUCCUUGAAGACAAGCACCAAUGCAUGGUCCAUUACCAUCUGCUGGGCCAAGACCUCAGCUGGGUGGUGAGCGCACAUUUUUGAGGUGACCCACUUUCUGGGGUGUUUGGCACUCUGGAGCAAGUCAAGAAGAAGUACAUGCUGGACGAUUACUCAGUCAGUCAGGUCACCAUGGAGGACGUCUUCCUGAGCUUCGCCUGCCCUGUGCCCCUGGUCCAAAGUGAAGACCAACGAGAGCAAGCAGAGCAGGCGGGCUCCUCAUCGUGCUCGCUGCCUCCUUCCCUGCCUCCCUCCCUGCCUCCCUCAGAGCCUGUCCUGCUGUAAUAAGGACAGACCAGUGCAAGGUUGGCCCAGGUGCGCAUGGCCUGCCCUGGGUUUCCAGGGCUUACAGAGGCAGCUCUCGGCCCAGCUAGCUCAGCACAGGGCUGUCCCCCUAACUGCAGUGCACGGAGCAGAGUGGGGCCCACUGGAGAACUUAAGAGGCCUGCUGGAGAACCCAGGUGCGUUUCCUUAGAAAGGGAUGCCCGAAUACCACCUGAGUAGCCUGUGGUCUUAUUGAGACCUGGCUGUGGAAGCAGCCUCAGAACAUCUUGCAUGUCCUUUCCAAGGGUGGUGGCCAGGGGGUGACCACAGUACUAACCAUGACCCGACCAGGUGCCAGCUCUGUGGUUGGUCCCCUGUAGGCAUUGUGUCAUCUGAUCACACCACCCUCAGGCCCGGCCUCAAGGGGUCUGUCCUGGUCAUCCCCUUGCUCAUGGGCAAGAAGUCUGCAGGGCAGAGGGAAAUGCUCACCUAAAGCUUGCGCUCUUCCUUCUCUAGAAUCCCCUGCCCAGAUGGUUUGUCCAUCCAGUGCACUCCCUCCCAGGGCAGGCCAUGCCGCCCAACGCACCCUGAGACGCGAGAUGCAGCAAAGCAGCGGCUCUGCAGAACUGCAGGGGGAGUUUGGAUGGGUGCGUGGAGGUUUCCACACAUGUGCAGAUCCUUUGGAAAGCAGGAUAGAGCCAGAAACAGAGAGGAGGGUGCCCAUAGGCCAGGGUGGGGCUGGCUUCCAUGAUCACAUGCAAGAGUGAAGCUUCAUGGAGACCACGAUUCUAAACUCACACCUGGCCUCACAGGUGGUAAUGUCACUGUUCUUCUGAAGGAAGGAGGAAAUAUUGACAAGUUUGCUAGCCUAAGUCA
rnacentral:sRNA from 1 species